CUGACAACGUAAAAAAUCUCAAGAACCUUUCAUAUAUGAGACCAAAAUAGCAGUUCACGUUAUUAUAAUUUGUUUUGUUAUUUUUUUUAUUUUUACAAUAGCAAGUAAUUUCGUCCGUACUUUUUAGAUGCGUUUGAUAUGAAAUAUUAUACAAAAUUAUGGAAAACUAACUGAAAAAAUAGUAUUUGCAUGUUACUAUGAAAUUUUUAUCUUUCGUUUGCUGUACUAAUUCACGGUUCUAUUUAUGUCUUUUUAAAGAAGCAAUAUUCAGUUAUCGAAAUUUUCUAGCUAUACGGAUUAUAAUAAGCCAAAUGUAAUCAGCGAGUCAUUACAAUUUACGGCGUAAACUAGGAGAGCUUUCGCGUUCUACCUUAAUAUACUUUCCAGGAUCAAAUAAAAUUUAGGCUACACUAAUGUAUCAAGUAAAUUGUACAUUUUCCAUAUUAGCUGCUACCGAAAUUUAUUAACUUAUUUUCACGUUGCAAUGACAUAUAAAAUGAUUGAAAAAAACGUUAUUUUAAUUGGUAUUAACACGGAAAACUUAAAACGAAUUUUAUUGCUGGUUUAAAUAAGACUAAAGAGGUAUGAAAAUAAGAAUGAAGUAUACUUGUUCGCUAAGGA